UCUGUUUGAUCCUGGCAGAGGUCACUGCUAUCGGUGUUCGUCUAAGCCAUGCGAGUCAUAUGUUCUUCGUGAACAUGGCGUACUGCUCAGUAACACGUGGAUAACCUGCCCUUGGGUUCGGCAUAACCCCGGGAAACUGGGGAUAAUACCGGAUAACGCAUAUAUGCUGGAAUUCUUUAUGCGUAAAAUGGAUUCGUCCGCCCAAGGAUGGGUCUGCGGCCUAUCAGGUAGUAAUGGGUGUAAUGUACCUACUAGCCGACGACGGGUACGGGUUGUGAGAGCAAGAGCCCGGAGAUGGAUUCUGAGACAUGAAUCCAGGCCCUACGGGGCGCAGCAGGCGCGAAAACUUUUACAAUGCGGGAAAACCCUUGAUAAGGGGACACCGAGUGCCAGCAUCAUAUGCUGGCUGUCCGGGUGUGUAAAAUACACCUGUUAGCAAGGGCCGGGCAAGACCGGUGCCAGCCGCCGCGGUAACACCGGCGGCCCGAGUGGUGAUCGUGUUUAUUGGGUCUAAAGGGUCCGUAGCCGGUUUGGUCAGUCCUCCGGGAAAUCUGACGGCUUAACCGUUAGGCUUUCGGGGGAUACUGCCAGACUUGGAACCGGGAGAGGUAAGAGGUACUACAGGGGUAGGAGUGAAAUCUUGUAAUCCCUGUGGGACCACCUGUGGCGAAGGCGUCUUACCAGAACGGGUUCGACGGUGAGGGACGAAAGCUGGGGGCACGAACCGGAUUAGAUACCCGGGUAGUCCCAGCCGUAAACGAUGCUCGCUAGGUGUCAGGCAUGGCGCGACCGUGUCUGGUGCCGCAGGGAAGCCGUGAAGCGAGCCACCUGGGAAGUACGGCCGCAAGGCUGAAACUUAAAGGAAUUGGCGGGGGAGCACAACAACGGGUGGAGCCUGCGGUUUAAUUGGACACAACGCCGGACAACUCACCGGGGGCGACAGCAAUAUGUAGGUCAGGCUGAAGACCUUGCCUGAAUCGCUGAGAGGAGGUGCAUGGCCGUCGCCAGUUCGUACUGUGAAGCAUCCUGUUAAGUCAGGCAACGAGCGAGACCCA
rnacentral:rRNA from 1 species